AACGGGGAAGCUGAAAACCGAACAGAGUAAGCG
rnacentral:ncRNA from 1 species